ensembl:lncRNA
UUCUUUUAUUCCAUUUAUUUUUCUAAUCUUACUUUCACUGCUUACCUUUAAAUUUUCUCUUUUUACAAUGACUGAAAUUAUAUUUCCCCAGUAACAAUUAGGAUUGGAUCAUUUUGGGGAUCUUCAAAAAUAAUAUACAGCUGUAACCAAUACUGUUAUAAUUUAUACAUUUAUCUUUGAAAAUAGGAAUAAAUUUAAGUUUUACAGUUUCUCUUUUCUACAAUAUUCUCUUUUUAAUCUUCCCAUGUCACGUAAUGGCAAGCCAUGCACUACUUCAGUAGUGAUGUUUGUGCCUUGAGCAAACUUUCUUUGGACACUGGAAGUGAGCGUGAGAGGAAAAGAAAAGAAUAAAGUCCACAAAAAUGACAAUUCAUAUUUACAGUUUAGGUUUCAUCAAUAUAAUUUAACAAACUGACAGUCAGGUGGUCAGUGCUUUUCCCAGGGCUCAAUAUCAGGUUAGUAUAGAGGCAAAGUUUGAGACACAGAGGCACAGUGUUUAGACUAGCAGGCCAGUUCUUAUUCUUUCUUCCAGGACAAGCUGUUGAUUUGUGAUUUGUAAGAAGAGGCAAAUGUUACCAAAAAGUGGGAUCACGAACCCUGAUAGAUAAAGUGAUCAGUCCAGACAUCUAUCUUUGGUCAUUUUAAAAACAGGUGUUAAAAUGGAGAAAUUAGAUCCGGUUAAAGUGCAAACGUUUUAUCAGCUCUGUGGUCUCACUGUCUAAUCAUACUGUUGCCAAUCCUCAAACUAUCUGUCAGAAACAGACGAUAAAAUAUGAAUCGAGGAGAGAAUUAAGUGUAGUAAAAGCCCGCCGGUGUCAUCCUGUUACCGCUGUUUAGCAUAAAUGAUUCAUUGUUAAAGAGAAAUAAAUCUGCUGGGAAAACCUCCAGUCACACUAAAAGGCAAAAAGCUGAACUCAGCAAGCCUGGAUAUGAGGUUUCAGGUGUCAUUACGAGGUCUCACAACCUACAACUCCACUGACGGAUGUUAUAGCGUAUGAUUUGUCAGUCAAAUAAGUGAAUCAGAAAUAUACAAUAAGAAAUCUGUGUUUCCAUGCAGUACCUGACUCCAUCUGGGAAGACAACAGCAGAAACUGCGCACUCUGCCAUAUCUAAAUCACUACCCCGAAGAGGUCGAAGCAACAUCAGCGUUAUUGGAAGAGUGCACAGACCUCAACAAACGACCAGGUCACAUUCAAGCUUUUUGCGCACGACGGCGACUCACCCCAAAAGACGAUAUAGCUUUUUGUUUAAAAACUUUCCCUUAAAUCAAUAAAUUCUCCCACAAAUUCAUCCGCUGCAAAUUAAAUUUCCCCUCGUGAAUUCAAAAAUGUACAAACAUAUUUUCAGCAGAACAGAUCACGGAGUUGAGUCGAAUAAAUAUCUGCAUGUGAUUUAAAACGAGAGAAAACGAAAAAAAAAUAAUCCAACAGAUACUGUACACGCUACAUGCUAGAGAAGAAUACAGGCAGCUGUCUCUCAGCAUAAGACGAGAAAAAGAAAUGCUCCUUUCUUUUCCCACUAUAAAAAUACCUAGAAUCUAGAGUGAGUGUAGAAAAAAUUUUACAUGUACAAGUCAUUUACAUCCAAGGCCAUUUUUUCUGCGGAGUGGCAGGUGAAGAAGAGCAGUGAGAUUUGGAGGUGAACUGGGUGAAAAAUAGGAAUUCUUCUGAGGAUAUGGGUGCAGAACGCCAUGCUGUUUGGACAAAAAUAACCUCCCCAACUCCGGCGAUAGAAAUCCAUCGAGAUGCCUGGCGUGUAAAUCCAAUGCAAAUGUCCAUUAUCCAGGUCGAAAAGAAACGUCCAGAAGUAUUGAAAGAUGGCUGCACAGUACCGAUUAAGCACACAAUCAGUCCAUACGUCUUCUUGCUGUACUUGUGAUUUACAGCAAAAAGCAGAAAUUGCUUCAGCAGAGGAAAUACAGAGCAGUUCUUUAUAAAUCUGCCCUCCACCAAUGUCCACUUUCUUGCCAAGCAUUAUUGCUACCAAGGUCUGCCAUGACUCCUCAAUGAUAUAUGCAGAUCAGGUCAAGAUACAACUGGCAGACAGCCGGCGAGAAGCUCAUCUGAACUCCUGAUGACUGAAAAAAUACAGUAUGCAAAUGAGAAUUCAACUAAUCUUUAGACAUGGCUGCAGUAUAUUCAGUUGAGUUCUUCAAUAAAUCCAAUUAAAUAUGUAUUGUAUUAACAUGGUGCUUUUUUUCUUCAUAAAUGGGACGUCUGCAGUCCACACCAGUCCCAACACUGCUGGUAUGUCUGUAGUUACAAUCCCACAUUUUAUCAUCAAACAGGCUUCGAUAUGAUCUUCAUUUAUGAUUU